GGCGGACGGGUGGAUUCCCCGCCCCCCCCCAAGAGGCGGAGCCGCGUGGGUCCGGGCGCCGGGCCGCGGCCACCCGCACGCGGACACACUCGGACGCGCUCGCACCCCCUCCCCUCCUCUCCCGCCCCCCUGGCCCGCCCCGCCCCCCUUUCCGAUCCCUCCCCUCCUCCGGGACCCCGGGCGCGCCCCAGCCCGCCCCCGCACCUCGCUGACGGCCCGCGGAGAUAACGCGCCCCCUCUUUCCGCUCCGGUGGCCGAUUUUCGGAGGAGAGGAAAUUUCACUUUUUCACGGCCGCCGCCGACCCCGCCCCUCCCUUCAGCCCCAUCCCCUUCCCGAGCAGGGCUGAUUUCUACCUCCUGGUGCGGGUGUCUGGGGAGGCGGUGUUGCCAUGGUUUGCCUUGACCUUGGCAAAGGAGGGGAGGGAUAUUGCCCUGGCUUAAGCUACGUUUGAGCUUCCUCGGGUUUCCUUGGCACCCUGGACCCAGCCCUCGGUGAUAUCAUUUGCCACAUUUUCCUUGGGUGAGCCUGGCUUUCCCGCCUGAAUGUAAGUUACCCAGGGGCUGACACCUGGCCUCAUUCAUAUGUGUACCCCCAAAGCCUAGCCCAGAGCAGGUGCCUGAUAAAUUCUUAGUGCCAGGCAUGGCUCUAAACCCUAAGCACGGAUUGCCUCACUUCAACUCCCCUGUUCCUCAUGAGGAACACGAGCUUUUAGUCAUUUUGGUUUGGUGAGUGUCAGGUAAAGAAGAGAAUCACCCAAGAAUGUGUCAUAGGAGGACUGAGACCGAGUUGGGACAGUCGAAAAGAAUGAACCCAGAAUACAGUUUUAUUCGUUUGGUUUUGGUUAAGUCAAACUGUGAAACAUGGAAAAUACACAGACUGUACUAUUCACAGGAUGAACAGUCGCUUGCAUUUGUCCAAAAUGUGUAAUACACAACCACGGCAGAAGAGGAAAGGAGGCAUUCAGAGAUACGCAAUGGAAGUGCCUAAUUCAUGGCGAAUCGCUGUGCUGUGGCAGGUUGGAAUGCGGUUCACCUAUUUCUACGUGAAACCACUGGCAGUGGCCCUCUCUGCACAUCAGUCCACACUGUCGCACCUGUUCCAGCUCCAGUGUCCCGCUGUGGGACAGCUUCUGGACCUUCAGCUAUAUGCCCAUCCCCAACCCUAGUGAUCAUAGCUUUGUAUCAAGUUUCUUCCCUCAUCUAAGGCUGCCCCUUCUGGUUUUCUGCUUGUUUCCCCCCCCCCCCCCCCAGGCCCCUCUCCUUUUGCUAUGCCAUAAAUGCUGGUGUUCUUAGGGGUUCGGUGCACUUCUCUCUUACUUCCUCAUUCUAGACGCGAUCCCGUUGCCAUAUGCUCCCCAAAUGCAUGCCUGAACCAUGA